rnacentral:rRNA from 1 species
GGCGGUUUGAUCAUGGCUCAGGACGAACGCUGGCGGCGUGCUUAACACAUGCAAGUCGAGCGGAAAGGCCCUUCGGGGUACUCGAGCGGCGAACGGGUGAGUAACACGUGAGCAACCUGCCCUUAGCUUCGGGAUAGCUCCGGGAAACCGGAAUUAAUACCGAAUACGACCACAGCCGACAUCUGCUGUGGUGGAAAGAAUUUCGGCUAAGGAUGGGCUCGCGGUCUAUCAGCUAGUUGGUGGGGUAACGGCCCACCAAGGCGACGACGGAUAGCCGGCCUGAGAGGGCGACCGGCCACACUGGGACUGAGACACGGCCCAGACUCCUACGGGAGGCAGCAGUGGGGAAUAUUGCGCAAUGGGCGAAAGCCUGACGCAGCGACGCCGCGUGGGGGAUGAAGGCCUUCGGGUUGUAAACCCCUUUCAGCAGGGACGAAGCGAAAGUGACGGUACCUGCAGAAGAAGCGCCGGCUAACUACGUGCCAGCAGCCGCGGUAAUA